rnacentral:ncRNA from 1 species
AAAAAAUUUUAAUUUAGUUUAUUAAAUUAAUUAUUUAAUUUAUAUAUAUAUAAAUUUUUGUAAAAAAUUAUAUUUAAAUAAUAUAAAGAAAUAUUAAUAUAAAAAAUUAAAAAAUUAAUAAAUUAAUUUUUAGAAAUUUAAUUAAAUAUAGGUUAAUUUUGUGCCAGCAUCAGCGGUUAAACAAAAUAUAUAAAUUAAUUUAAUUAAUUAUUAAUAAAAUUAUUUUUUUUAUUUUAAUAAUUUUAUUUUUUUGGUAGAAUAAAAAAUAAUUAAAUUAUGAUAAAUAAAAUUUAUUAAAUUUAAAUAAUUAUUAUUAUAAACUAGGAUUAGAUACCCUAUUAUUAAUAAUAAAAAUUUUUAAUUAAGAAUUAUUUAUUUAUUAGAAAUUUAAAAAUUAUGGCGGUAUUUUAAUCUAUUUAGAGGAACUUGUUUCGUAAUUGAUGAUCCACGAUAGGAUAAAUAUAAUAUUUAAUAUUUUUGUAUGUUCGUUAUAAAAAAAUUUAUUAAUAAUUAAUUUUUGAAAAUUAAAAAUUUAAUUUAUUUCAGAUCAAUAUGAAGUUUUAUUAUAAAGAUUAUGAGUUACAAUAAUUUAAUUUUUAAAGAUAAUGAAUUUAAAAAUUUAUUAUUAUUAGGAUUUAAAAGUAAUUAAAUUAAAUUAAAUUUAAUGAAUAUAGUUUUAAAAUAUGUACAAAUUGCCCGUCGCUUCUAUAAAAGAAUAAGUCGUAACAAAGUAAAUGUACUGGAAAGUGUAUUUAGAGGAAU